CAGCAGCCACGGUAAUACGGAGGGUGCAAGCGUUAAUCGGAAUUACUGGGCGUAAAGCGCACGCAGGCGGUCUGUCAAGUCGGAUGUGAAAUCCCCGGGCUCAACCUGGGAACUGCAUUCGAAACUGGCAGGCUAGAGUCUUGUAGAGGGGGGUAGAAUUCCAGGUGUAGCGGUGAAAUGCGUAGAGAUCUGGAGGAAUACCGGUGGCGAAGGCGGCCCCCUGGACAAAGACUGACGCUCAGGUGCGAAAGCGUGGGGAGCAAACAGGAUUAGAUACCCGCGUAGUCCCUGUCUCUUAUAC
rnacentral:rRNA from 1 species